AAAAUUAAGCGGAGGAAAGAAACUAACUAGGAUUCCCUCAGUAGCUGCGAGCGAACAGGGAAGAGCCCAGCACCGAAUCCCACGGCCGAUACCGGGCGCUGGGAAAUGUGGUGUUAGGGAGGAUCCGUUUAUCCCGAGGUCGUGCGGUGCGUCCAAGUCCUUCUUGAACGGGGCCACAGCCCAUAGAGGGUGCCAGGCCCGUAGCGACCGCUGCCGAUCGCGGGAGGAUCUCUCCUCAGAGUCGGGUUGCUUGAGAGUGCAGCCCUAAGUGGGUGGUAAACUCCAUCUAAGGCUAAAUAUGACCAUGAGACCGAUAGCGAACAAGUACCGUGAGGGAAAGUUGAAAAGCACUUUGAAGAGAGAGUUCAAGAGUACGUGAAACCGUUCAGGGGUAAACCUGAGAAACCCGAAAGGUCGAAAGGGGAAAUUCAUUCGCGUUUCGGCAGUCGGCGUCGGAUGGAUAGAGUGACGGAUGGCGUACGCGUCGUCCGCGCCUUCCUUCCUUCGAACCGGCGUCGAACGCGUGCACUUUUCCCCUAGUAGGACGUCGUGAUCCGUUGGGUGUCGGUCUAAGGCCCGUGGUGGAGCCCGUUGUGGAAGUUUCGGCUUCUGCUCGGACCUGCGGUGUCCCGGCCGACUCGCUCGACGGUAUACAGAUGGCGAGGGGCCGCUACUCAGUUAGCGUCCGGCCUGCGGCAAGCGCGUUCGGUGUUUGACGGCGAUCGGACCUGGUGCCGGUCCUGUCCCCGAACGACUGUUGG
rnacentral:rRNA from 1 species